GGUGUUCCUUUCAGCAAAUCAUAUACUAACAUUGGAAAGAUACAGAAAUUAGCAUGGUUCCUGUGAAAGAAUGACAUGCAAAUCUGUGAAGCAGUCCUUGGUGGU